CAAUUUUUUAUAAGGUUGCAGAUCUCAGCCAGACUCUCAGCUAGGCUGGGUGUGAGGAUGGCGUCUCCAGCGAUGCUCAGCUGGCUUCAGAGGGAAGGGCUGCCUGUGCAUUUGUAUGUGUUGAGAGGGGUGAGCUGUGCAGCCUGGUACACAGAUCAUGAACAUCUGCUUCUCUUAGAUCUUCUGCCUACUACCACAGCAGUAAAACCACGACUCACCGCCUUCAUCACUCAGCCUCAACACUGCUUCCCUCAUGCCCUACAGACAAUGGGAGCUGGAAUCGCCCUUGAUUUCCCCUUUCUGUCAUCUUAAGCACAGUGGCCUGAGGCUGACCCUCCUCUUAGAACUUGACCCUCUUCCUCUGUCCGGCACCACUCCCUGCACAGUGGAGAAGGCAAUAUGAAGAUAGAGACAAUGGAGAUUUUAAAACGUUGAUUGGUGGAGACUGGAAAGUUGUGGUCAGAAGCCAAGGAAUGCUGACAGCCACCAUAAACUGGAAGAGGGUCUUGCUCUAUUGCACAGGAGUGCAGUGGUACAAUCAUGGCUGUCUGCGGCCUCAAUCUCCCUGGCUUAAGCAAUCCUCCUGCCUCAGCCUCCCAAAGUAGCUGGGACUACAGGAAAAGUGUCAGGCCCAUUGAAGUUACCACGUGCCAUGGCUGUGAGUGCCUUCACUACUUGGAGUAGGCUCAUCAGUAGACAACCCUCCCAGAGCUCUACGUGCAGCCGGCAUCUGCGCGGUCUGUUAGGCCUUGCUCUGUUGCCCAAGCUGGAGUGGGCAACAACCCAUCCACCUUGGCCUCCCAAAGUGCUGGGAUUACAGCCACCUAUUCUAGAGGAGCAGUAUUGAAGGGCUUGGGGAAACCGAGUGCUCUCUAAGUGUGGCCCUCACCAUCCUUCCUGGUGCGCUAUCUCCAGCCGUGCAUCCGAAAACAUCCCAGUCUGCCCCUGGCCUCUGCAUGGAGCCUGACCCCCAACACAGACCUCUCAAGAGGUUCUGGAUUCACUGGUGCUGCUACAGCCCUGAGCAAAAACACAGCUGUUUCGUUUACCACCCCACCCCAACAUAAGCUGUCCUCAGACUUUACAAAGACUUAGGGAUUGCACAGUCCACAAGACUUUCAAUGCCUUUGCCCUGUAUCUCAACUAACUUUCAAAUAGAGGGACCUUCUUAUAGGAAGAAGAAGGAAAAAUCAAGUGGAAAAACACCUUGAUCAGGUAAUUGAAGGAGAACUGGGGCUCAGGCUGCCACUUGGUUUGGAAAGGGUGUGGAGGUGGCUAAUCUGGCCCUGGCCUAAGAGCAAUUCCAGGCUGGCGGGCUGGACCGCCUGUCUCCAUAGCAACUGUUGUUAUUGGUAACUGAAUAACCAUUUCCUAGAACAGCGGCUGGAGCUGCUGAUGGUUUUCCCUUCUACUUGGAAGCGAGAGGAGCCAGGCUCUUUGCUGAUUGAUCCUAAGUGCUGAGCUCUUUGCUGAUUGGGAUCUUCACUUGAUAUUGGGCAAGCUGAAGCCACCCUUCUGUUUUAUCUCUGACCUCUGCCAGCAGAGAGGGUGGGACAAACUGACUUAAUGUCUAUUUUCCGGCUUCCUCUGAGAGGUUGAGAAAGGUGCUCAAGGGCAUUUAGCUAGCAAGAUCUAGAACUUGAACUUUGCCCUGUCUGAUUCUGAAACCCAUGCUCGUGACCACAUGGCUGUUCUGACUCUGUCCCAUUCCUCUGAGAUCUCAUGAAAACCUGAUUAGCCCUUUCUCAUGACACCAUGAGCUGUCUAAUUAUUUGUGAGGACAGGUAGCAUCUUACAGUGAUCCAUGGUCUGCACAAAGGCUGUUCUAGAAGCUGUCUUACUUGAUUAUCCUGCAGUGGUGUCAGUGGGACCUUAAAAUGCUGUAGCCCUAGAGUUAUUAGGGUCAUGCUCACUGAGGCCAUUGCCUCAAACUUCCUGCUCUCCCCCUGCACUCUCCCUCCAUCCUGGGGAGUGAUAGGUGGUGGAGCAGACCUGGCUACAGGAGUGAAUUCCAGAUCACUUUCAUGGAGGCACUUAGGCUAUUGUGUUUGUUACCAAGCCAAAGGAGCUUGCUGCCCAAUGCACUAGAAGCCAAUACUAUGACACUGGGUUUUUGAGAAACAAAAAGCUUUUUAAGUCGACUAACAAGGAGACAGGAGUCCGGCUCAAAUCUGUCUCCCUGUGCUGGCUUUCAGUCAUUUCAUUAAAAAAGGUUGAGGGGGUAGAUUCUGGGAUUAGCGGAUGAUUGGUGGAAGGAAAGGGGAGGUCUGGAAAGUCCUCGGGCACGCGCAGUUCUCUCUCUAUGCUACCACAUGUGCAAAUUUGCGGGGAGUGUUCAUGUGGAACAGGCAGUGUUUCCUGUUUCCAGACCAGGCAAGGUGGCUCACAAAUGGCUCUACGAUCCAGAGAAAGUCAGCAGGGAGGGUUGUGAUUUGUUAUUAUGAAAAAUUAACAAAUUACAUCCAAAAUGUGUUUAACUCCUAUUCCCUUUGAAAAGGAUCUUUGGGUACCUAAUUGACAUAUUUUAAGAGACAUAUUGGCUAGUUAGACAUCAAUUGACAUCCUCAUUAAAUAUCAAUUAACACAUAUCCUAACGUAAUAUUUAAUUAGCUUGCUGUAGCUAUUCUUUUAAAAGUCAAUUAAAUGCUUGGCAUAUUCUUACAAGCCGACUCCAUUGAUAGCAAUUAUGGAUGAAUUCCUGUCAUAAGUCAUUUUUAGUGGAUAGCAGGGCAAACUGAUUCUGAAUAUACACAUCAGGUCUUUCAAGAAGAAUUUAAAAAUCAAUCAUUAGAUAUCUAAUGAACCCUCUUCUCUGCUGAUUGUGAAUAAAAGGCAUGUUCGGCUCUUGGACUGUAGUUUAGUGCAUUUUCACAUGAUUGUUGGAACUCUAGGUCAAACAGAACAGACACCUGCCUCCAGGGAGAGUCGUGCUUCAUUUGAAAAGAAAAUUGUGGUAAAAUAAACAUAACAUAAAAUGUAGCAUCUUAACCUUUUAAAAAUGUAUAGUUCAGUAGAGUUAAGUACAUUUGCAUUGUACAACCAGUCUCCAGAACCGUUUUAAUCUUGCAGUUCUGAAACUCUUGUACCCAUUAAAUAAUGAUUCCCUUUCCUCUCUCCCCUGAGCCCGGGCAACCACCAUUCUAAUUUCCAUCUCUAGGAGUUUGACUACUUGAGGUGCCUCAUAUGGAA
rnacentral:lncRNA from 10 species